rnacentral:rRNA from 1 species
GAUGAACGCUGGCGGCGUGCCUAAUACAUGCAAGUCGAGCGAACGGACGAGGAGCUUGCUCCUCUGACGUUAGCGGCGGACGGGUGAGUAACACGUGGAUAACCUACCUAUAAGACUGGGAUAACUUCGGGAAACCGGAGCUAAUACCGGAUGAUAUUUUGAACCGCAUGGUUCAAUAGUGAAAGACGGUCUUGCUGUCACUUAUAGAUGGAUCCGCGCUGCAUUAGCUAGUUGGUAAGGUAACGGCUUACCAAGGCAACGAUGCAUAGCCGACCUGAGAGGGUGUCGGGCACACUGGGACUUGGGAAACGUCCAAACCUCUACGGGGAGGCGGAGGAGGGAAAUUUUCGGAAAGGGGCGAAACCUUACCGAGGCACGGCCGGGGGGGUGAUAAAGGUUUCCGGAUCGAAAAACUUUGUUAUUAGGAAGAACAAUAUGGUUAGGAACCAUUGCAGUUCUGACCGGAACUAAUCCAGAAGGCAACGCUAACUUAGGU